rnacentral:tRNA from 1 species
UGCUCAGUCGGCAGAGCGUUUCCAUGGUAAGGAAAAGGUCGAGAGUUCGAUUCUCUCAGGGA